UCUCUUGUGUUAAGGUGCAUCUAGUGCAGUUAGUAAAGCAGCUUGAAAUCUACUGCCCUAAAUGCCCCUUCUGGCACAGGCU
rnacentral:pre_miRNA from 1 species